UACAGAGGGUGCUAGCGUUGUUCGGAAUCAUUGGGCGUAAAGGGCGUGUAGGCGGUUUGUUAAGUCAUGUGUGAAAUCCCUCGGCUCAACCGGGGGAACGACGCAUGAAACUGGCAGCUAGAGUACCAAAGAGGGGGGUGGAAUUCCCGGGUGUAGCGGUGAAAUGCGUAGAUAUCGGGAGGAACACCUGUGGCGAAAAGCGGCCCCCUGGUUGGAGUACUGACGGCUGAUACGGCGAAAAGCGUGGG
rnacentral:rRNA from 1 species